AGUGGCGGACGGGUGAGUAACACGUGGGUAACCUGCCCAUAAGAGGGGGAUAACAUCCGGAAACGGGUGCUAAUACCGCAUAGUUUUCUUGAUCGCAUGAUCGAGAAAGGAAAGACGGCCUUUGUGCUGUCGCUUAUGGAUGGACCCGCGGCGUAUUAGUUAGUUGGUGAGGUAACGGCUCACCAAGACGAUGAUACGUAGCCGACCUGAGAGGGUGAUCGGCCACAUUGGGACUGAGACACGGCCCAAACUCCUACGGGAGGCAGCAGUAGGGAAUCUUCCGCAAUGGACGAAAGUCUGACGGAGCAACGCCGCGUGAGUGAAGAAGGUUUUCGGAUCGUAAAACUCUGUUGUCAGAGAAGAACAAGUCGGAGAGUAACUGCUCCGGCCUUGACGGUAUCUGACCAGAAAGCCACGGCUAACUACGUGCCAGCAGCCGCGGUAAUACGUAGGUGGCAAGCGUUGUCCGGAUUUAUUGGGCGUAAAGCGAGCGCAGGCGGUUCCUUAAGUCUGAUGUGAAAGCCCACGGCUCAACCGUGGAAGGUCAUUGGAAACUGGGGAACUUGAGUGCAGAAGAGGAGAGUGGAAUUCCAUGUGUAGCGGUGAAAUGCGUAGAUAUAUGGAGGAACACCAGUGGCGAAGGCGACUCUCUGGUCUGUAACUGACGCUGAGGCUCGAAAGCGUGGGGAGCAAACAGGAUUAGAUACCCUGGUAGUCCACGCC
rnacentral:rRNA from 1 species